GUGUGUGUGUGCGCACGCAUGAGAAAAACAGUGUUGAGCAGAGGGAGUGAUAGGACAAGUGUUCAUCUGGGGGAACGUGUGAAAGAGGAGUGAGAGUGGAAGAGGGGGAGCACGAGGCAGGGAGGCAGACAGAAAGAAAUAUUGACAAAGCCUAGAUAUACACAUAAGUCAUCGCGGGUGGGCUGCCUGGGUGCCAUACUUUAUAGCUGUGCUCUGUGCUGGCGGAACAAGAUGACAACCAAGUUCCUUCAACUGAAAAUAUGGUCCUCUCUCACACUCUCUCUCUCUCUUUCUUUCUACCCCAUUGCUCCUGUUUUCUGUCUCUCCCCUCCUUGUCAUCCCCCUCUUUUGCUCCUUUUCUCCCCUCACCCCUCUAUAUUCCCCCCGCUUUUAUUUUUUAUUGGAAGCCUUCACUCUAACUCUUGUCCCUCGUCAAGUUCCUCUUUCUGUCUAUUUAUCUUUAUGACACGUUCCUAAUCCCUCUCAAUUGCCGUGCAGGUUUCCAUCCCUCACUUUCCCCCCUCUUCUCCCUCCAUCCCUCUUCUCUAGGUGCUCUGCUUCUUUCUUUCUCAUUUCCCCGUCUUGUCCUCUGUUUCCUCCGUCACUUCGUGAUUCAUGUCCCUAACCGGAACACCGCCAUCCGUCUGCCUCACCUGCACCUUUACUUCCGCGCUCGUCUUUUCACACUCUUUCCUACUCCACAUCUCUCGUCAUUAUCUCUACCUCUGUUCUACCUAUUCUUUUUCGAUUAUUUGUAUUUUAGUUUUUCGUCUUACUUCACUCUCCAUCGGGCUUUGCCAUUUCCAGGUGGAACUUGGACGUAACCACAUAGUUCUGUUUUGUCUGCUGCCUGCUUCACCAUAUGGUAUUCUCUUCCUCCAUUCUUUAUUUUCCUCGCCACAUCCCUCGCCCUUUCUCUCUACAUCCUAACCCCCCCUCCCUCCCUCCCUCCCUCCCCCUCCUCCUCUCAUCCGCAGCCCGAACACAGAGCCCCAAGUGUCGGAAUCAAUUAAGAGUGAGCGCCGUCGCGGCCGCUCUUUCACGGAGGUAAAUAUUAAACUGCAAGGAACGCCGCGGAGCAAGAGAGAGGCAGAGGGGGGGAAGCGAGGAGGGGAGAACGGAGGGGAGAGAGGGCCCUCCGUCCCUAAUCCACCGCAUCGAUCAGCCGGGGAUGAGGGUAAUAUAUUAUUUUGACAAGAUACGAUCCUCCGACGCGCACCGCUAUCCCCGGCGAUCGAUUUCUUUUUUUCUUUUCCUUUUUUCUUUCUCCCCCCCUCAGCCAGAGGGACCAUGUAUAGUGUGCCUGUUUUGUUGUGAGUGGCUGGGUGUGCAUUUGCGUUUCGGUGCAUAGGUGGCAAGGUGUUCAACAUUUAGGAAAUGCUCAGGCAAUCACGAACAAACAAUAGAAGUCCAUCAAUAAGAACCUAGUGACAGGCGGCGAGACGUCAGCAGCUUCAUCUGAAGUAAGUAGACCUAUUCAUUGCACGUGCCCAUUCAUGUUCAGUUUCUGAUGUGAUUUUUUUUAAAAGCAUAAUACCAAAU
ensembl:lncRNA